CUUAAAUGUAUUGUGUCAUUGUUUAAAGAAUAUCAACUGCGUGUCUACAAGCCACAGCUACACCAAUAGCCUACGCGUACACGAGCCUUAAAAUAUAAGCUACACUUAUAGUUAUAUUAAACUUGCUCAUUAACUUUUGUACUUUUCUCAAUUACCCCCGUGAAAGAAUCUCCUGUAAAAAAUCAAAUAUUUCGUGGCAAAAUCUGUACUUAUUCAAUAAUAAUUUACUAUUAAUUUUCUAGUGGACACACAUGGAGAAAAAUCUAACUACUGAGU